rnacentral:lncRNA from 10 species
GGGGAACAGUGGGGCUGCAGCCUGAGAUGUCACUCAUGAGGGACGCAAAGGUAGCCCCAGCCCCAGGGAAGUGGGGUAGGGAGAGACUUCACUUUCUGUCAUCUGCUACUGACCCUGCCCCCCCAUUGCCUCGACUUCCCCAGCUGCAUUGAAUUUCCCAUUCCAAACUCAUCCCCCCAGUUCUUCCCGGAGCCCUCUUCCAUCCCCGGCCUCACCUGUCCCUUUCCUCACACCCCCCUUCCUGCCUCAUCUGCCCGGAGCCUGUUUCCAUUGCCGCAGUCUCCUUCCUCCUCACCCCAUUUGCUGAAGCAGUGGCAGAGAUACCCCAAGCCUUUGGGGGACUGAUGAAGGGAGAACAUCUUUUGGGGGCUAGAGGAAGUGAGUGGCUCCUAGAGGGACAAGGGGAAGUGAGGGGAGAGAGUCAAGGGGACAGGGCCGAAGAUGGUAACCCUACCCUAGGGAGGGGUUGCCACAGCCAUCAACAAGGGAUUUAGUGUCCAGGCCCUGGUGAGCAAAGCCAGCACUGCCUGUCUCUCCCCAAAACUGCCCCCCCCCUUCCCCAUCGCUCUAACUCAGCCUCUGGGAACAGAGCCCUGAGGGCCCCCCCAUCCUGGAUAGGGAAUCCCCACCCCACCCCCAAGAAAAUGGGACACCAAGGCAGCCAAGUAACCCAAGAGGCUACAGAAUGUGCUGAUGGCAGAGGGGGAGGGGUAACUGUCUCAGGAUGGGGGCAGGGGUCACCCCAAGUCGUGCACUGAGGGUCACCUCAUCCCACACUGUGCUCUAACCAACGGGGUUUCUGUGGCCAGCCCCAGAGGGAAGUCCGAGCAGCAGUGGGGAAGAGGGACAGCAGGGAGCCAGGUGGGCGGGGACCCCGGCGCUGGGUGCAAAGCCACAAGUUGUUGCUGAAUGCUGGCCUUGGUGUCAGCUUCCUCAGAGAAGCAGCUGCUCUGAGCUGCCCCUCCCCACCCCUGCUCCAGGAUGGGGGCGUCUCUUGGUUACCACCAGGGCAGCUGCUGGAGGAGCCGAGGGAGGGUACCAGGGGUGCAGGAAGGGGAGGACAGGCAGGCAGAAAGGCUGGAUGAGAGUCAGGGUGAAAGGUCAGUGAGGGGAAGGGGCCUGGUGCCCUGGGCUCAAGUCCGUCCUCUGUCUAGGCCUGUUUCCUGAAAUGAGCAGAGGCAUGUGGACUUCCUAAGUGUGGCUUCUUAAGGCUGCUUUCCAUUCUGGGGCUCAAACUCCGAAGCAGAGGACAGAAUAGGAGACAGCAGAGCAAAGAAAAGGGAGGCCCCCACUUUUGGGGAGGGGGAUGGCAGCAGGGGUGGAUGGAACUUGAGGGUUCAGCCUCCCAGAUGCAUCCCUUCUGCCUGGACUUGGGUGAGGCGCGGCCUCCUGGGUGAGUUGAGGACAAGGUGCUCCUUCCUGCCUCCUUUUCACAGUUCCAACAAACCCCUCCCCUGAAGCAGAAUCCUGCUGUGACCUGAGGGGAGUGGGGGACAGUGGGCUGAAUUGGGGGUGCAGGAGAGCAUUAGCAGCCUCUCUUCCAAGAGACACAGCCCCCGGCACCUCCACCCGGCCCAGCACCCACCGUCUCCGCUGGACUCAGGCUCACACCCGCCAAGGCUUUUGGCGCUGGCCGGCGUCUCCCCACCGGCACCUGGAGGAGUGACAGGGGCUACUGUCUUACAGCAGUGGGAAUGCCCAAACAUGGAGAGGGGCAGACGGAGAGAUGGGCAGCUUCGAGGGAGUCGAGAGCCUGAGACAGAGGGCAGGGGGCAGGCUUGGCAGCACAUUCCUGCCAACAGGCCUUUAAGGUUAUUCAUUUCUACCUCCCCCGGCUUCCCAGAGGGGGAAACAAGCCAGGGAGGGAAAGCCACCCGCCAGGAGCUGCAGAAGGGCUGCUCUAGGGAAGGCUGUGGGUGUGAACUGCCAUGGAGGGAGGCUGAGCCAGAGGCGCCCUCGGGGAUCCCUUCCCACAGGGGUCUCCACGCCCAGGGAUGGAAAGUGAUCCUCCUGUCACACCUGAGGGCUGGAGCUAAAAGCAUGGGACACAGAGACACCCUGGCCAGUCCCUGAUGAGUGCAGAACUUCGGUUUAACCAUCUGUAAAGAAAGGCUUAGAGGGAAAGUCUCUCAGGCCCCAACAGCCAAGACAUGCUGGUCUGAGGAGUGGGUGGGUGUCCUCGUCCCCCUCCCCUGCCCAUCUUUGGAAGGCAGGUCCCUGAAGGCUGGCAGGGCUGGGGGAGGGGGAGCCUCAGAGCACCAGUUGCUGCUGGAAGAUUAGGAGGGGAUCAGGCCCUGCUUACCUCGGGGCACCACAGCCUUCACUGGCCAUCUCACUAAGAACCCAGCACCCGGCUCUCCAAAGCUUCCCCCACUUUCAAGGCCGGUCCUAUCCCCAGUCUCCUGAGGCCAAGGUUUGGGGAGCCCCAGAAAUUAGAGCAAGCAGGAGAGCCAGCAGGCUUCCCUCGGCUAGCCCCCCGCCUGGGUGGCCUGGAAGCCCAGCUGUCUCCUGUCCAUCUCCCUACAGGACACAAGGCCCAGAAUAGCAAGGUCAUGAGCGUGGGUAGGGCCUCCUGGAGGUGGGGGCUGAAGCUGAGGGGCAUGAGGGUGUGGGCUCCUUGCUGCCUGGGCGGGGAGUGAGGCAGGAUGCUGAAAGGCGGAGCUGGACAGUGGGGAAGGGAGAAGGCCGAGCUCAGCGGGUGGGAUUCUUCAGCCCCAGGCCCCUCCUUGUUGGCACCCACUACCCCCAGAGCUGGGAAGCCCAGGGGUGCCCUCUGUUGGAGGGCACAGCCACAGAUCAGGAAGACUGAUUCCAAGAGCAGAGCCUGUGUUUUACGGGGUGGAGGGGUGUGCCACAAUGGGGGUGGUGUUAUAAACUCAAAUGCCCACAGGGCCAGGCCCUCCCAGGGAGCAAAGUGAGCUGGUGGGGAUGGGGCAGAUGUGGAAGUGGACCCACAUCACUGGAUCUUCUGAUUUUUAAGAGAAGCCAGUGAUUUUUUUUUUUUUUUUUUUUUUUUUAGACAGAGUCUCGCUCUGUUGCCCAGGUUGGAGUGCAAUGGUGCGAUCUUGGCUCACAGCAACCUCCACCUCCUGGGCUCAAGCAAUUCUCCUACCUUAGCCUCCUGAGUAGCUGGUAUUACAGGCGCGCACCACCACACCCGGCUAAUUUUUUGUAUUUUUAGUAGAGACGGGGUUUCUCCACAUUGGUCAGCCUGGUCUCAAACUCCUGACCUCAGGUGAUCCACCCACGUCGGCCUCCCAAAGUGCUGGGAUUACAGGCGUGAGCCACCACACCUGGCCUGUGAUCUGAAUUUUUAAUGUGAAACUCAAAUGGACACCAUGUCCAGGCCAAGCAAACCAUGUCAGCAGCUCUGACUCAAGAUGAAACUUCACAUGUCACAGAUGAGGAUGCUCAGGCCCGGCGUGGCUACACCUUGCCCAGGCCAGUGAGUGGCAAGGCCAGGACAGAAGCUAGUGCCCUCUGCCAUCCCUCCAGCCUGGCUUUGAGAAGGGGGCCAUUGGGCCCCUCUGCGGCUACCCUGUGACUGCCACGUUCAAUCUCUUCCAGCACAGCCACCGUGCCUCCCAUCUCUCACUGCCAGCUCUCUCUAGGGUACAAAGCCAUAACUCAGGAAGGGCCGCUGGAGAUCACCAUGCCUGCCAUUCACAGCACUGUCCCAUGACAAAAACUCGCAGGAGACCCCAAGAGCAUCAUUUAGUGCUCCACGAACAAGGCUGUCAGACACAGGGAUGGCUCCGAAAGCACAGCACUGCAGAAUGAUGGGGACUGGCCUGGGCCAGCCCUCUGGCCUGUGGGCACUGAGUGGGCUGCCUUCCCAACCCAACUGUCCCCAGUCCCCACAGCAAACAAUGGCCAUAGCCAUCACGAUAGAACCGAGAUAAACCUUUUUAUUUAUUUAUGCUUCUCCAUUUUGUUUAAAACAACAACAACAACCACCUUAAU